AUAAACCUGCUCUCCUAGGAGACCUGAAGGCUGCUUCCGCUAACCCAGGCUGGCGCUGCUAACCUCACCCAAGGAGCCCUGCUGUCGGAAAAUUUCCAGAGGCACCAUCCCUGCUAUGAAGAGGGAAUGCCAGUACAACAGCCACAAGGGGUCUUCCUGUGGCCCUCAAACAAAAAAUCACUGCAUUACAUCAGCAGAGACGGAUUCUCGCCCUGUCCCCCAGGCUGGAGUGCAGUGGCGCGAUCUCGGCUCACUGCACCUCCGCCUCCCGGAUUCCAGCAAUUCUCCUGCCUCAGCCUCCUGAGUAGCUGGGAUUACAGGCGCGCGCCACCACACCCGGCUAAUUUUUUGUAUUUUAGUAGAAACGGGGUUUCACCGUGUUGCCCAGGCGGGUCUCAAACUGCUGAGCUCAGGCAGUCCACCCGCCUCGGCCU
rnacentral:lncRNA from 1 species